GCCGAACCAUGCAAACGUUAUUCGGAUUCACUGGGCUUAAAGCGUGCGUAGGCGGUCUUGUUAGUCAGGUGUGAAAGCCCUCAGCCUAACUGAGGAAUUGCGCUUGAUACUGCAUGACUAGAGAAUGAUAGAGGUGGGUGGAACUGAUGGUGGAGCGGUGAAAUGCGUUGAUAUCAUCAGGAACACCAGUGGCGAAGGCGACCCACUGGGUCAUUUCUGACGCUGAGGUACGAAAGCUAGGGUAGCGAACGGG
rnacentral:rRNA from 1 species